GAUUUUUGUAGCAAUAUUAUUUAUGAUUUAAUAUUUAGAAUAUUAGCAGCUGAAUAGCAGAAGGAACAUGAUUUGGGAAGUUGUUGGGCCAAUAUUUAAGCGCAUGAUGCGUAAGAAAUUGUUAAUAGUAAGAGAAAUCGGUCCUUUCAAUCGUAUCUAUGGUACAGCAGAUGCUUUUAUACUUUGCGCCGGCUCGCUUAUAGGCUACCAAUGUUACAGCUUUUCAGCGCACAUGGAAAAAUACGGAGACGGGGGGCUGUACUCUUUCGUCAUUUGCGGCAUAUUUUUAUCACCUAAUAUUUGGUCCUUUGCUGAGUUGCUGUCAAUCCUGCCUUGCCUUGGUGGCACUUUUCAUUUCACUUACUGUUUUACAAAUGAAUUCAUAGCAUUUAUGACCGGAUGGUUUACUAUACUCACCACUGGAUUUGGUGCUGCAGCACAACUGAAAGCCGCUGGUUCUAUAAUGGACGACACAUUUUUCAGUGGGCACAUGGCCAAUACAAUGAAAGACUUCAUGAACUUAGGUGAAAAAAGGUUUCUGUUGGACAGCGCUCCAGACUUUCUUGCGCUAUUUUUGAGCCUGAUAUUCUCCGGCAUAGUUUCGGCAAAUACGAGCGAGACAAAACUUCUGAAUUCAGCGUUGUACUUUAUAAACCAGUGCUGUCUGAUAUGUCUGACAAUUUUGUUCAUCGGUUACAUUGACUUUAACAACUGGAUCCCAUUCAAAUUGAACCAUUUGAUUGUGCUAACUAAUUCAUUUUUAAGCACUAGUGUUAUCUACUCAACAAUUCUUACAUUAGUUUUUUUAGGUGAGGAGGCAAUAAACCCAAGCAAAACUCUUCCUAAAGCACAUGUGUUGUCUUUUAUUUUUGGCCUUAUCCUUUUUUCUGUUUUUUCCCUGUUGAUAACACUCGUAUGGAACUACAGAGAAAUUGAAAGUUCAAAUUCAAUUCAGUCAAUUCUGAUAUAUUUGAAAUUAAAUGGGCUGACAUUCAUACCACUCAUCGGUGUCACUUGCUUUGUGUACAAUAGUCUCUUUAUCGACAUGUUUUCCCUGACAAGAGUUGUGUGUGCAAUGUCCAGAGAUGGCUUGCUGUACAGAGUUUUGUCAAGAGUCGAACACUUCAACAACAUGCCAGUCAAACCAUCUUUUAUAUGUGGAAUAGUUGCUGGUGUAGUCGCUAUGUUCGGAAGACAGACUACACUACGAGAAAUAGAAGCGAUUUCAUUUUUGAUGAUAAGUGCCAUGGCACCUGUUUGUACUUUAAGAAUGAGAACAUUUCAAAGGAAAAGUCUCAUCCCCACAUGGAAAACCCAGCCCAACCUGCGAUGUCAUCGUUUUAGUACUAAAAGUGUCAGUCAUGGGAAUGGCAGUGACGACCAGGCACAUACUCAACGAUUUCAUAAACAUACACUGGAUAUCAUGGAAAAUUUUGCCAUUGUUCCUUUUCACCGUUAGCAUGCUGAUAUCAAUGGUCUUUCUGAUUUUGCAGCCGAUGAAUGUCACACACAGUCCUUAUAGGGUAAGGUUGAUACCUUUUGUUCCAAUGCUCGACAUAUUCAUUCACUAUUUUGCCAUCGGUAACAUCGAGGCAAAGUUUUUAUAUUUUAUCAUUUUAUGGGCUCUUUUCGGUUUAAUUUUUUAUUUUACCUAUUCAAUAUGGCAUUCAAAAGAAGAAAUAUAAUUCUGAAAAUUGAAAAUUCCUAAGCAUUUUUGAUGUUAUUGGUUUUAAAUUAACUGAAGAAUCAGGCAGUAUAAUAAAACUGCAGCCGAACAAAUAUAUAAUAUGCA
rnacentral:misc_RNA from 1 species